AGUUUGAUUAUGGCCUGAUUGAACGCUGGCGUGGAUGCUUUACACAUGCAAGUCCAGCGAACGGCAGCACGGACUUCGGUCUGGUGGCGAGUGGCGAACGGGUGAGUAAUGUAUCGGAACGUGCCUAGUAGUGGGGGAUAACCACGCGAAAGCGUAGCUAAUACCGCAUACGCCCUUCGGGGAAAGCGGGGGACCAGCCUGCACUAUUAGGAGCGGCCGAUAUCGAUUACGGUUGGUGGGGUAACGGCUCACCAAGGCGACGAUCCGUAGCUGGUUUGAGAGGACGACCAGCCACACUGAGACUGAGACACGGCCCAGACUCCUACGGGAGGCAGCAGCGGGGAAUUUUGGAUAAUGAAGAAACUGAUUCAGCCAUCUUCCGGCAGGUGAUGAAGGGCUCUCGGGUUGUAAAGCACUUUGGCAGUGAAAGAACAUGGCACGGGAUAAUACCCCGUGCAACUGACGGGUACCUGCAGAAUAAGCACUGGCUAACUACGUGCCAGCAGCCGCGGUAAUACGUAGGGUGCAAGCGUUAAUCGGAAUUACUGGGCGUAAAAGCGUGCGCAGGCGGUUCGAAAGAAAGAUGGAAAUCCCAGAGCUUAACUUUGGAACUGCAUUUAAUCACCGAGCUAGAGUGUGUCAGAGGGAGGUGGAAUUCCGCGUGUAGCAGUGAAAUGCGUAGAUAUGUGAGAAUACCGAUGGCAAGGCAGCCUCGAUAACACUGACGCUCAUGCACGAAAGCGUGGGGAGCAAACAGGGAUUAGAUACUUCCUGGUAGGCUCAAUGCCCUAAACGAUGUCAACUGCUGGGGCCUUCGGGCUCUGGUAGCGCAGCUAACGUAAGAAGUUGACCGCCUGGGGAGUACGGUCGCAAGAUUAAAACUCAAAGGAAUUGACGGGGACUCCGCACAAGGAAAAAGAUGAUGUGGAUUAAUUCGAUGCAACGCGAAAACCUUACCUCACUCUUGACAUGUUCGGAAUCCUGAAGAGAUUUGGGAGUGCUCGCAAGAGAACCGAACACAGGUGCUGCAUGGCUGUCGUCAGCUCGUGUCGUGAGAUGUUGGGUUAAGUCCCGCAACGAGUGCAACCCUUGUCAUUAGUUGCUACGAAAGGGCACUCUAAUGAGACUGCCGGUGCAUAAACCGGAGGAAGGUGGGGAUGACGUCAAGUCCUCAUGGCCCUUAUGGGUAGGGCUUCACACGUCAUACAAUGGUCGGGACAGAGGGUCGCCAACCCGCGAGGGGGAGCCAAUCCCAGAACCCGAUCGUAGUCCGGAUCGCAGUCUGCAACUCGACUGCGUGAAGUCGGAAUCGCUAGUAAUCGCGGAUCAGCAUGUCGCGGUGAAUACGUUCCCUGAACUGUACCGCCCGUCACACCAUGGGAGUGGGUUUUACCAGAAGUAGUUAGCCUAACCGUAAGGAGGGCGAUUACCACGGUAGGAUUCAUGACUGGGGUGAAGUCGUAACAAGGCAGCUCUAGCCAUUACCUGAUGCUCCA
rnacentral:rRNA from 1 species